ACUUCAAGGGCUUGGAUUUAAUCCAGUGCUAGUGAGCCACGAAAUGUGGUGGAUUAGACAGAUUAGACUGAGUUUUUGAUAAAACAAACUCAAUUCUGAUUGAACCCAAGGAAGUUAAAACCAGAGAUCUCAGCUAUCUUGAUGGGUGACCGAAAACGAGAUACAUGGAGAUCUUAGUUUACCUUGCUUGGGAUGAGAAUUUAUGAAGUAAAAAAAGGGAUC
rnacentral:lncRNA from 1 species